GUGACCUGAGCCGAAGUCGGACAUCUAACCGACUGAGCCACCCAGGCGCCCCAGUCCUUCAGUUUCUUUCUGAAACUGAAAAGAUUUUGCAGAGUUGCUUUGAACCUUGAGCUAGUUAGGUCAAGUGGAAUUUCCCCAACUAUAGCCCUUGAGAAUUAGAGAAUGUAUCAUACCUGCAUGUCUAGGGUGAUUUGAGACAAGCCUGCCUUCUAGGCACCAGUCUGUACCUAACUCUUCUGAGCCCACGACUAUAUCACCUUGUCCGUCUUUGCUACUGGAGAGAUUUCAAAUGGUGAGGUGACAGAUUUGCCUCUACUGAGUUGACGGAGACAUGCUAGGUGCAGGCUUCUAUUUUGUGUUUCGGAUUGGGGCUAGUUCAAGAGGUAGCGAGGGUUUGUCACAAAGUACACAUUGAUUUAUCACUUCCAUGCCUAACGUUUGCUGAGGUUUUUAGAUUGGGGGGAUUCUAGCCCUCCUUGAAAAGCUAAUGAAACUUAGGAAAUUCUUAUAAAAAAGCACAACAUUUUACGUUCAUUUUCAGUAGCUUCAUUGAAACCACUGGUCUGUGGCCCUCCUGUUCUGUUCUUUUGAGGGAUAUCACGAAAACCUGUCCACCAGAGAGCUUGCUAGCCCACGUUCUCAGAAGGUCAUGUCCUCCCAGCUGGGACCGUUAAGGUGAGUGAAACUCAGGUCAGUUGUCCUGAGCUCAGGGCCACUGCAAAACAGACACGGAUUGGUGUAUGCUGCACAGCUGUUGGGGGCACACUUCGUAGGCUGUCUUAUCUAGAGUUAUGUAAUAUGUACCUGUAUGAGGAGCUCCUGGGGGUGUGGGGUGAUACUGGAAAUACUGGGGAUAGCAUUUAAAAAUGAAAAAAAAAGGAGGAGCAUCAGAGCCAAGGAUGAAGCCAGUUUCCGUGUCCACAACCCUUUCCACCUUUUGUGACCCCUUUAAGGUACUUUGUAUGGAUUCCAACUGCACAACAUAUUUUGUUUCCUGGAUUUUUGCAUCCUACUUAACCUGGUGCUGCAAGCUGAAUCAUUGUUGAAUGUAGUCUGGGGCUAGAGUAAGGCGAGCUGAAACUAGUCACUGAUUCAAAUUGCCAUUCGCAGACAAAUGCCUAGUUGGUGCUUGAUUGCUAGAAUUUUUUUUUUUAAGUUUAUUUUUUGGAGAAAGCACAAGUCGGGGAGGGGCAGAGAGAAGGAGACACCGCAUCGAAAGCAGGCUCUUGUGUCAUCAGCGCGGAACCCGAUGGGGGCCUCCAACUCGAGAGCCGUGAGAUCACGACCUGAGCUGAGAUCGAGGCAGAUGCAUAACUGACUGAGCCACGCAGGCACCCCUGUUUGCUAGACUUUGCACAAAUCCACACUCUAAAGGUAUCACAAAAAUCAGUGCUAUUAGAAAGAUUGCAGGUCAUUAUGGGUUUGGGGAUGCAGGGAUAAUCUCACUACAUACCUUCCCAACCCUGAACUCAUGUGGUUAAUACUUUCUUUUUGCUUUGUUUCCUCUUCAAAAUAAAGCAUGGGAGUUCAAUUCGGUCAAUAAAUACUUAUUUGAUGUUAAUCUGAGCCAGAUCCUGCUUGGCACUGGGAAUAGCACAGUGAAUCAGGAAGCUCCCUCAGUUGCCUGCGGUCUGCGCUGGAGGUAGGGAUGGGGGCAGUUUGCACACGGGCCAGGCAGUGGCAGUGAAGGAAGUGGCUUUGGUGGUUCCACGUGACCGUGACCGGAGCCAAGGGUGUGAUGGGAGAAGUGCCGAGAGACGGCCCUGGGGUGUGAUGCGGGUGGGCUAUGCCAAGCCAGGAAGGUUGAACCUUAUCCUGAAGGCAGUGGAGAGCCAUUUAAGGAUUUUAAGCGGGGGUGUGACAUCUCAUUUGCAUUUUGGGGAGCUUUGGGUACAUUGUUGAGAAUAGACUGAAAGUGAUGGCAGUGGACCUGGCAAGAAGAACAGUAGAUAGCACUUACUGAGCGUUUAGUGGGUGCUGACUGGGCAUUUACUAGUCCCAUCGGGUAUUUAAGGCUUAGAGGAAGUAAGUAACCUGUCUGAGGGAAUGAACCUAACUGACAGAAUCGAGUCAGUGGUUAAAACUAUUGUGUCUGAGACAAAAGCCCAAAAGAAGAAGUACGUGGAGUUGACAGAAACCCAGGCGGAAGGGAUGCACUUCCUGAAUGAAUGCCUGGGGCUGUGAGGGGAAAAAGGGAGGAGUCAGGGAUGGCUUGGGCAGUUGGUGGAUGGCGGUGCCACUCACGGAGAUCAAGAAUAUGGUAAAAGGGGAGGUUUGUGGUGGUGGUGAGGUAGGAAAAAGUGAUGAGUUUUGGACGUGUUGACUUUGUGCGUAUGAGAGAUCCAAAGGGAAAUGGAGACACCUGGGCUGUAAAUAUUAAGCACCUGUCACUUAUCUUGUACUUUGUAGGUCCCGGGGACACUGUGCUGAAACUGAGGAACGUGGUCCUUGCUCUCGUGGCUUCGGGAAACGGGCUAGGCAACACGUAGGACCCUGAUAACUGGGAGAAGUACGCAGGCCUCAGGAGCUGAGGAAGGCCAAACCUGAUCCCUGGCUUCCUGAAGGUUAACCAGUCGGAGCUCCUCCUGUGCGUUGGCCUGGAAGAUUCCAUGGCCUGGGCCAGGUGUGGUAGGGCUUGUGGACGCUGGGAUGGCCCUUGAUGCUAUGGGUCAAGGACGAUGAGUCAGGCCAGUGCAGCAUCUCUGCCAAGCUGGAAUAUAGGAGGCCUGGGCACAUGAAGUCAGGUAAGUGGGUGUCUUGGUGAUGGAUGGGAGUUUCCCGGCAAGUGUGACCUUUCCCUCCGCUGAGUCCAGCUGGACCAACCCUGUGGCUCCAGGGCCCCUUGUCAUCCACUGAUUGCUUUGUGAUUAAUGCACAAGUCCCUUAUUCCCACCUCGUGUCCCUGCUCUAUGCUCCCCCAGCUCCCGUGGCGGACCCUGCUGCACUUAGGCAAUUUACUCAGAAAGGAUCGUCCCAAGAAUCUCUCCACAUGCUUGGUGGGCAGGUAGUGACCAACGUCUGUGUGUGACUCCCCUGCAGAAUUCAAAACCAAGGACAGACAUGCCAAUCACAGCAUUAGGGGAGAGACUUAAAAUACCUGCAGUGAGUAGAGCAGGGCCCAGAAGAGGCCAGGAUCUGUCCUGCAGGCAUCGCCCCUUCUUCUCUGCACAUUUUUGGGCUCAGCAAGAAAGCCAUGAGUUUCCACCUGGCAGUCAUUCACUGGGGCUGCCUGUGGGUCCCAGUGCCGUUUCACAAAGGACAGGCAGCCUAACCCUGGUUUGUCUGGGAACCAGAGAACUGCAGAGGGAGGAGAGGGGCCCAACCCUCCGGUCCUAGCACCAAACCAAGUGGACCCCCCACCAAAUAUACAGAGGGCGAAUGGUCCCGAAUGGACAAUCCACUUUUCAAACAGUGUUUUCACCUUGGCCUGGGGGCCCAAGCACGUAAAGUGGGUUUCAUGCUGAUUUGGCUGCAUGGACUUUAUAACUUAACCAGAGUAGGAGAGACCGAAUCACGUGCUGUUAACAGGCAUUCAUUCAGCAAAUAUUUACUGACUCCCAGACAGGAGAGAGGGCUGGUUUGUGUCAGUUCGCUGUGAAGAGCAGCUCCUUCGUGCUGUAGCAGAACGUUUGUCCCUGUCCCCCAUCCCCCGGAGGGCCUCCCUACCUUCCUCAACAGGGCAGAUGAAAAUGUUUUUGUUCAGGUCAAGAAAGCUUUCUAAGGUAAAGGAUGGGGGAUAAAGGCUCUAUUUGCAUAAUAAGGCCAGGAAAAUUUGUGAAUUCCUUCCAGGGGCCAAAUGGGAGCUUUGGAAAGAGCUUGGCGGUAAGGUGUAUUUGACCUAAGGCUUUUUAGGAGGAAGCGGGUGCUGUGAGGACAGGAAGCCUGCAGUCAGAGCGGGGAGGCCUCCUGCCAGCAGCUCUGGGCCCCGAGCUCAGCCCUGGCCUCUGCAGAGCUGGCGGGCACCCCUUUCCUGGUACUGCACUGAGGAGGAGGGCAUCCAAGGAGUGCCAUGUGCUGACCCCCUCAUUCCCUGACUCUCUCCACUUGCUCCCUCCACACCCCUCUCCCACCAAACUCCCCCCUCCCCAUCGAGGCUCCAUGCCCCCACUCUCAUAUGUGGCCUGGAGAACCGUGCACAAGGGAAUGCUACCGGGUUGUGGAAGCAGGCGUGGCCAGUGGGCUGAAUGAGUGUGCCUACCACCCUUUGGAAAGGAGCCCUGGCCAGCUGGUCCAGCGGGGAAGUGGUCAUGGCAGUGAUAAUGGCCUGUGCUUGCAUAGUGUGCUCUUCUAAUCAGAUAUUUGCUCAUAUUAGUUCAUCAACAACAACCCUGUAAAAUAGGCCCGGUCAUGACCCAAUUUGACAAAUGAAUAAGCUGGGGCACAGAGAAAUGACUUGCCGGGUGUCACGCAGCUAGCAAAUGGGGACAGAGAUUCAAAUCUGGGCAGUUUGCCUCCAGAGUCCACCUACUUAACGACUAUCUAUUCUGCCCUCCUAGAUGAGCAUUCUCUUCUGGUAGGCUGUUUUGGAUGUGAGUGACAGAAAUGCGACCCAAGGACAGUCCAGACAGAGCAGCAGUGGCAAAGGCUCAGGGCCCAAGAAAGAAGGUGGGUGGUCAGCGAGGGCUGUAAGUUACUGGGAGCGGAGAUGGAGAGAAGUCACAGCAAGGGUCUUCGGUUGAGUCAGGUGCACAGAGGCAGGGGCCUUGCAGCAAUGACCCAGAGCUGAGGACACUGGUCAACUUGUCCCUGAGGCUAGUGGGGAGGAAAGACACCAGGGAACCAAGUGUGGCCUGGAACCAGGGCUCUCCUUGGCCCGUGUUCCUCGUCCACUCUUCUACUUCUGACUCUCCUCUUUACUCAUCUACUUUUUAUAGUUUUCUGAGUCUUUUUCUGCUUCCAGCUCCCCUGGAGAGCCAGAGCUCCAGGGAAGGAGAUCUGAUCUGUCUCAGCUCUUUGCAGAGGGUGGUCUCUGGUACAGAUUAAGCAUGUAGCUGGACACCCAUCCCCAUCUAUGUCCUGUUCUUUUAACGAAAGAUUCAGCGGUUCCUGGCUGGUUCAGUCGGUAGAGCUU